GACGAACGCUGGCUGCGUGCUUAACACAUGCAAGUCGAGCGGAGCGGCGAACGGGUGAGUAACGCGUGAGUAACUGCCCCCCUCUCUGGGAUAACAGUUGGAAACGGCUGCUAAUACCGGAUAGUGGGGGAUGACUCGCGUCCUAUCAGCUUGUUGGUGGGGUAGUGGCCUACCAAGGCGACGACGGGUACCCGGCCUGAGAGGUCGACCGGCCACAUUGGGCUGAGAUACGGCCCAAAAACCUACGGGAGGAGGCAGUGGGGAAUAAUGCACAAUGGGGGAAAACGUGAUGCAGAAACGCCGCGUGCGGGAUGACGGCCUUCGGGUUGUAAACCGCUUUGAGCAAGGACGCGGUAGUGGCAGAAGAAGCAACGGCUAACUACGUGCCAGCAGACGCGGUAAUUC
rnacentral:rRNA from 1 species